AGUUCAUUAGCUAUCCUAUUUCACUUUGGAUUGAGAAGACAACCGAGAAGGAGAUUUCUGAUGAUGAGGACGAGGAGGAUAAGAAGGAUGAGGAAGGGAAAGUUGAGGAUGUAGAUGAGGAAAAGGAGAAGGAAGAGAAGAAAAAGAAGAAGAUUAAGGAGGUCUCGCAUGAGUGGUCAUUGGUGAAUAAGCAAAAGCCGAUUUGGAUGAGGAAACCAGAGGAGAUAACCAAGGAAGAAUAUGCUGCAUUCUACAAGAGCCUUACAAAUGAUUGGGAAGAGCAUUUGGCUGUCAAGCACUUUUCAGUUGAGGGUCAGCUUGAGUUCAAGGCUAUCCUCUUCGUUCCUAAGAGGGCACCCUUUGAUCUUUUUGACACAAGGAAGAAGCCCAAUAACAUCAAGCUUUAUGUCAGGCGUGUGUUUAUCAUGGACAAUUGUGAGGAGUUGAUUCCUGAGUUUCUUAGCUUUGUUAAAGGUAUUGUUGACUCAGAGGAUCUUCCUCUCAACAUCUCAAGAGAAAUGUUGCAGCAGAACAAAAUCUUGAAGGUUAUCCGCAAGAAUUUGGUGAAGAAGUGCAUUGAGCUCUUUUUUGAAAUAGCUGAGAACAAGGAAGAUUACAACAAGUUCUAUGAGGCUUUCUCCAAGAACCUCAAACUUGGUAUCCAUGAGGAUUCUCAGAACCGAAAUAAGAUUGCGGAAUUGCUUCGAUAUCACUCUACCAAGAGUGGUGAUGAGAUGACCAGCUUGAAGGACUAUGUGACCCGAAUGAAGGAGGGUCAAAAUGACAUCUAUUACAUCACUGGUGAGAGUAAAAAAGCUGUUGAGAAUUCCCCAUUCCUUGAGAAGCUGAAGAAGAAAGGUUAUGAGGUGCUCUAUAUGGUUGAUGCCAUCGAUGAGUAUGCCAUUGGUCAGCUAAAGGAAUUUGAGGGCAAAAAGCUUGUGUCUGCAACAAAGGAAGGUUUGAAGCUUGAUGAGAGUGAAGAUGAGAAGAAAAAGAAGGAAGCUUUGAAAGAGAAAUUUGAAGGUCUUUGCAAGGUCAUCAAGGAUGUCUUAGGUGACAAGGUGGAGAAAGUUAUGGUCUCUGAUCGUGUCGUUGAGUCCCCUUGCUGUUUGGUGACCGGCG
rnacentral:lncRNA from 1 species